UAUCACAUCUGUGAUUUAGUUUCAGCAUAUACUUUUGGGGGGGACACAUUCAGACCAUGGUGCAUAAUAAGCAUUCCAAAAAUAUAGCUCUCUGUUUUAUUGUUUCCAGCUUUCUUACCCUUUGUGUUUUUGUUUUUGUUUUUCUGGAGAGUUAUUGCCUCCCUGUGAAAUGCAUUCAUCUAUAAUACAAAAAAAGAUUCUAAGGAUACCAAAUCUAUCUGCCCAAUUUGGGUCUGCUCUGAGGAAAGGUGACAAUCUGGGGUCUGGAGAAGAGAGGCACUGGGCUCCGGAGAGACCGUGUGAUUUGCUCCAGUAA
rnacentral:lncRNA from 1 species